rnacentral:rRNA from 1 species
AGCGAACGCUGGCGGCAGGCCUAACACAUGCAAGUCGAGCGGGCACUUUCGGGUGUCAGCGGCGGACGGGUGAGUAACGCGUGGGAACGUGCCCUCUGGUUCGGAAUAACUCAGGGAAACUUGAGCUAAUACCGGAUACGCCCUUUUGGGGAAAGGCUUGCUGCCGGAGGAUCGGCCCGCGUCUGAUUAGCUAGUUGGGGAGGUAACGGCUCACCAAGGCGACGAACAGUAGCUGGUCUGUGAGGAUGAUCAGCCACACUGGGACUGAGACACGGCCCAGACUCCUACGGGAGGCAGCAGUGGGGAAUAUUGGACAGUGGGCGCAAGCCUGAUCCAGCCAUGCCGCGUGAGUGAUGAAGGCCUUAGGGUUGUAAAGCUCUUUUAUCCGGGACGAUAAUGACGGUACCGGAGGAAUAAGCCCCGGCUAACUUCGUG